GAUGAAGAACGUAGCGAAAUGCGAUAAGUAAUGUGAAUUGCAGAAUUCAGUGAAUCAUCGAAUCUUUGAACGCACCUUGCGCUCCUUGGUAUUCCGAGGAGCAUGCCUGUUUGAGUGUCAUGAAAUUCUCAACCUUUUCAGCUUUCUUUGUUGAUCAGGCUUGGAUGUGGGAGUAUGCGGGCUUCUCAGAAGUCGGCUCUCCUGAAAUGCAUUAGCGGGACCUUUGUUGCCUGGCUUUGGUGUGAUAAUUAUCUACGCCAUUGUAGUCAAGCAGCUUAAAAUGAGGUUUCAGCUUCUAACCGUCUCCCCUGAGACAACUUUUUGACAAUUUGACCUCAAAUCAGGUAGGACUACCCGCUGAACUUAAGCAUAUCAAGCGGAGGA
rnacentral:misc_RNA from 1 species